UGCCGUUACCGCCGGCCGCCGCGGUCAGAGCGCGUCUGCGAGCCGCCGCGCCACUCGCCCCUCGGAUGACAGGAGGUUUUCUGGGGGAAAAGGCACCUCUACCACCAGCACAAGAAUACCAUGUACAGCAGCUUCAGCUAGAGAUUCAAAGAACAUUUGAGCCCCGGUUAUAAUGUGGACAUUAGGAGCUCCAGCCCUCUCAGCCACAGACUACAAAUAAGGAACUUGCUGAAAGAAGACCCUAAGGGUGACUCAAGCAGUCUACAGGGAAGCUCUGAAGGUACCUGAGGUGGGAGAUAACCUCAGAAUGUCCCAGAACCUGGGACCAGCAUGUCCAAUACCAGGGAACUGAACAGGUAGAAGGGUGAGCAGCUGCCCUGUCCAAGAGAAGAGCUUCCAGUAGAAGAAAGAGAAGCUGUGAAAGUGACAAGUGACCAAACCUCCAGGCCAGACGUAAAGCUCUGUGAAGAAGAAUCACGUCUUGCCCUUCGUAGUCUCCACACACAUUUAAUACUGAGAAACUUGAGGCCAUUUGUGGAUGGAUGACAGCAGGCAACUGUGGACACUGCAGUUGAAGAGGACAGAUGUGUGGUUCCGGGCAGUCGCGGAUGGAGAUGCAUGCACCCUUAACUGAAGACGUAGCUGCCUUCUCUGGGAUGACUGUCACUUGGAAGAAGCAAGAAUGAAGAGGCCUGUCCCUUUUUCCUGCUUUCAACAUGGAUGUUUAAAGACAUGAUCCUUGGAGCUGUAGCAGCCACGUUGAGACCAUAAAGCAACAAAACUAAGGGGGAAAGUCAGAACACCAAAGAGACAGACAAAAAGAGCCUGGGUCCUUGAUGAUAUAGUUGAGCCACUAUACCUAUCCUGGAACCAUUUACUUCCAGUUUUAUUGACACAGAAAUUAAAUGUCUUUAUUUUCAAAGCAGAUUUCUGCUACUUGCAGCCAAAGGCAUUCUUAACCAGUAUAGCACUGCUCUGAACCUCUCUAUCACCAAUUCUCUAGAGCCCCUGGCUCUUGGUACAGCACCAAAUGGGAAAUCAACCCAAGUUUAGACAUUGGAAAUCUUGCUUUUGUGGUAGGAAAUAAAAGCCGAGAUUGUCACUGCUACAGAGCAAUUUUAGCACUUAAUCCCAACUCCUGGGUCUACAGGCCAUCAAAGGAUGAGAGAAAAGAUUCAGGGACAUUCCAAAUGUAUGAGCACUGAACUUCUAAAAUGGAGUUCAGUGGUGCUGUUCAGGAAACAGUUCUUUGUGGUGAAGUGGGGGGAGGUCGAAUGUUGGAGAUGCAGAGCUGAUGCACAGGCUAGAAAGCUGUGAAGGCAGGCGGAAGGAGCAGCAGGGGAGGUGUCCACAGUAGGGUUUCAGAAGGCCCAUGGACAAGCUGGAAGAAACUUAGGACAGCCAGAACUAAACUGGUAGAAAACUAGACCCUCUAGUUACUGUGCAGCCAGCAGCAGUGAUAGUGCAGAUCCUUGUAGGAGUCAGGCACCCUGAUGUGCCAUCCUGGCUUUGGGCACUCUGCUUUCUUCAUUUUUUGUCUCUUCACUUCUCCCCAUUUUCUCCCUGGCUUCCUUAAGCAAAGCCAGGAGCCAGAAAGGCACAAGGCCUGAAACAGUUGAGAGUGAAUAUAGUCAGAGGAUGACUUCCAGAAGACUUCCAGUGCCAGUCUGGGGACAAAGGGCUAGACCUGGAGGAGAGAAGCAGACAGUGGACGAGGAUGGGCCCAAGCUUUCUUCAAGCAACGUGGUUUGUGUUUCUCCAACACAAGAAAACAUGACUGAUGCUUCCUGGCCUUAUGAAAUGAGUUGAAGUCAAUAACUCCAGUCCUUCCCCUUUACAUUUCUAGUUUUAAUUAUAAAACAGGUAAACUAGCAUCUCCUAAUGUAUCCUAAAAAUACAAAGUAAUCAAUUACAUUCAAAACUUGAGGAAAGCCACCUACCCAUAUCCCAUGAAUGGGGUCCACCCACAGGCUGCAAUGAUUUUAGAAAUUGCAGCUACCAGAUUCUGCCCCUUAGGCCAUAGCCCCUUUCAAUGUGUCCUUAUGCACUCUACAUAUUUCAUGGAGUCUUUCACCAAAGGCCCAAACCAGGCCAACUAAUGUUUGCCUACAGUAUUACUUUAUUCAGCAGAAAUUUACUGAAUACCUAAAAAAAUUAAUAAUAAAUCCUAUGAGAUGAAAGAAUGAAAACUUUGGGGUAGAAAAGCAAAAAGUUUAAGCCCCUACUUUGAUGUGAUUAAUACUUGAAUGUGAUACUUAAUAAACCCUGAAUUCCACCACCCCCCCAAAGUUUCCCCAUAUAUCACUAAGGAUUCUCUGAAAUCCAAUAAGGAAAAGAAUAAAGGCUUUUCCUCAUUCUCAUAAUCAAGGUUUUUUUCUCCAGUAUGAAUGAGCCUGAUUACUGACUAAAAGCUCUCCCACCAUCUUUACAAUGCGUGUUUCUUUCCUGUGAAUUCUCCAGUGAUGAGAAAGGGCGAAGCUAUCCCCAAAUGAUUUUCCCCAUUGAUUAUACUCAUAGGCUUCUCUCUAGCAUGAAUGAGCUGAUGUUCAAUACGCUCCACGCUUCCCUAGAUAGUUUUCUAUAUUCAUCACAUUUAACAGUUUAUGCCCCAAAUGAAUCAGCUGAUAUUGUCUAAGGAUGGAACUCUGAUUGAAGGUUCUUCCUCAUCCAUUAUGCUCACAGGGCUCCUCUUGCUAUAAAAUCCCAGAUGUCUAAUUAGCUUGGAACGCUGUCUAAAAGCGUUUUUACAUCCAUUACGUGCAUAUGGUUUUUCUCCAGUGUGAAUUCUCUGACGUUGAAUGAGCUUUGCUUUCCUGAAAGCCCUCACAUUUAUAGCAUUUGUAGAGUCUCUGUUGCAUGCGGAUUAGCUUAUGCAUGUGAUGCUGGGAUGCUGAUGGCUGCCUCCCACAAAACAGGGAUUCUCUCCAAGGUGAAUAUGGUGCUGUUUAGUAGGAUGGGGACCCCAAGGAGAGUUGCAUAUAUUUGUAACAGACAAAGACAGUCUCUCCAAUAUGUAUAUUGGAAUACUAAAUACAUUCUUAAUUCUGUCCCAAGAUGUAGCCACACCUAUCUUAUCUUGGGAUUUUCUUCUAAAAAAUGUAGAUAGGAUUGCAAAUUUUUCCUAGAUUCAUCAUAUCCAUGGCAUGGGGUCCUUACUGUUUUACUAGGAUGUCUUCAUAUUCCCAGUCCUCUCCAAACUCAGGGAUCUAGUCAUGGUGCCAGAGGCACCUCAUUGGAUCCAGGAAGGUCCUGCCCGGGGUCAACUCGUUCUUGGUCCCAGUGACACAAUUUGAAAUUACAGGAAAUGUGAAUAUUGGCCAUUUUUUCUAAAAGACAAAAUUUCGUAGAGUGAGAAUGAAAGGUUUUGGGAGAAGAAUUAAAGAUAAGAGUGUCUUUAGGCAAAUAUUAAAAAUGGUGUGAUGUGACAGAAGUAACAGCUGGUUCCUUUCCUAAUGGCCCUAAUUUUGGUCACAGAAUGUACCCAAUAAAAAGCCCUCCCCUAGUGACUGUGAGGAGGGAGCAUGUGAGGAGUCGAAAGGAAGUUGUUCCCACUUUGUUUUUUGAUCUGGGCACUACUCAUAUUGGGUGUGUUCAUUUUGUGAAAUACAUAAGUGGUAUGCUGCAUUUAUGCACUUUAUACAAUGUAAGGUUUUUUUAAAAAUCACUAUCCCAUAUGCCACCUGCACAGCCACAGGACAGUUUCCAAAAAUGAGAUGUAAGCAGAGACUCUUAAGCAGAAACAGGAACUUUUGGCCUUUUUCCUGUCCCCUUCAUCCUGCCGGGCCUGGAUCCAUAGUAGUGCAGCAGCCGUCCCAUGAGCAAAAAUGGCCCAGUGAGUCCAAGGUGUCUGGGCCCGGUGACCUUGAACGUCUCACCUCUGUAAUUUUUACUUUUUUAGUCUAGUAGGUGAGAAAGGAUUUUCAUUAAUUGUGAGUAAGGUUAAGCAUCUUUUCCUCUAAUGCCUCUCAUGGAUUAUUUUGUCUUCACCUCCUUUUCCAAAGCUCAACAGAGACAUUAGCCUUGUGAGUGUCACACCGCUGGAGGUGUUCUUCCACAUUUGUCAUUUGUCUUUUGGAUUUGCAAGUGUGUGUUUAAGCCAAACAGAGGCUACUGUGUUUUUUUUUUUUCCUGUGGCUUCUAAAUUUUAUGUUAUGUUUAUUCCAUCCAGAAUUGUUAAAAUGCUAAAUCUUCUUGACAGUACUUUUAUGGUUUCAUUUUUUUAUGUUUAUAUCUUGGAUCCACACGGAGUUUGAUAUAAUGUAAGGAAUGAGGAAGAGAUCCUACUGCCCCACCACCUCCUAAAACAGCCCAGGGAACGUCAUCUUCCAGCUGUUUUGAAAUGUCACCUUUAUCCUACAAUAAAUUACCUUUUGAACUUGGGUCUUUUUUGAAUCUCUACUUCAUUUAUGUCUGUACCUUCUCUAGUAUGUAAUUAUUCCCCUUAUCAUUUG